AGUGAACGCUGGCGGUAGGCCUAACACAUGCAAGUCGAACGGCAGCACAGUAAGAGCUUGCUCUUACGGGUGGCGAGUGGCGGACGGGUGAGGAAUACAUCGGAAUCUACUUUUUCGUGGGGGAUAACGUAGGGAAACUUACGCUAAUACCGCAUACGACCUACGGGUGAAAGCAGGGGAUCUUCGGACCUUGCGCGAUUGAAUGAGCCGAUGUCGGAUUAGCUAGUUGGCGGGGUAAAGGCCCACCAAGGCGACGAUCCGUAGCUGGUCUGAGAGGAGGAUCAGCCACACUGGAAGUGAGCCACGGUCCAGACUCCUACGGGAGGCAGCAGUGGGGAAUAUUGGACAGUGGGCGCAAGCCUGACCCAGCCAUACCGCGUGGGUGAAGAAGGCCUUCGGGUUGUAAAGCCCUUUUGUUGGGAAAGAAAAGCAGCAGGUUAAUACCCCGCUGUUCUGACGGUACCCAAAGAAUAAGCACCGGCUAACUUCGUG
rnacentral:rRNA from 1 species